rnacentral:rRNA from 1 species
UACAGAGGUCUCAAGCGUUGUUCGGAUUUAUUGGGCGUAAAGAGCUCGUAGGCGGCUCGGUAAGUCAGGUGUGAAAACUCUAGGCUCAACCUAGAGACGCCACCUGAUACUGCUGUGGCUAGAGUCCGGUAGGGGAGCAUGGAGUUCCUGGUGUAGCGGUGAAAUGCGCAGAUAUCAGGGGGAACACCAGUGGCGAAGGCGGUGCUCUGGGCCGGAACUGACGCUGAGGAGCGAAAGCGUGGGGAGCGAACAGG